CAAUGAUGUAUCAAUAAAACCUCUUGCUGCUGGAGAUCUGCUUACCUGGUGGCCAGGGUGGCAAGACAAGUGAAGCCUGACUAUGCCUGCAGCAUCCACUGUGGAAACUACUACAUCUUUGCCAUGCCAAACACAGCAUGCUUCUGGUCAGCCUAUACAGUCUCUGUCCUGGUGAGGAGCAUGAUCACCAACAGGCAAGAUCUUCUGGCCUUGAAGUUUCGCUUGAGUUAAAAGAGCUCAUCUCAGGACUUUCUGAAUUUUCAGCCCAUAUGACAUGGAAGAAGAGUUAGAAGGGGAAUCUGACUGCUUGGAUCAGGGACUGUCUGGCUGGUGGAACUUGAAUGUAUACAACACUCUUCAUUUGCAUGUUUUGACAUUUUAAAAAAUGUUUUCACUUUCCUUAUCUACUUUGACUCUAAUAACAUCCUGAAAGGUAAGUAGAAUUAUUCUCAUAAUAUGAUGAAGAACCCAAGGCUCUCAAGGGAACACCACUCUUGGAUUAUUUAGCCCCGCUCUUCUACAAGAAUUGCAUACCCCAACCCCUGGAGCCCCUCCC
rnacentral:lncRNA from 1 species